GGCUGUGCCAAGGCAGAGUCUGGUCCAGCCAGCCUGACCAUCUGUGAGAAGGCCAGUGGGUACCUGCAGGACAGCCUGGCUACCACACCAGCCAGCAGCUCCAUUGACAAGGCCGUGCAGCUGUUCCUGUGUGACCUGCUUCUUGUGGUGCGCACCAGCCUGUGGCGGCAGCAGCAGCCCCCGGCCCCGGCCCCAGCAGCCCAGGGCACCAGCAGCAGGCCCCAGGCUUCCGCCCUUGAGCUGCGUGGCUUCCAACGGGACCUGAGCAGCCUGAGGCGGCUGGCACAGAGCUUCCGGCCCGCCAUGCGGAGGGUGUUCCUACAUGAGGCCACGGCCCGGCUGAUGGCGGGGGCCAGCCCCACACGGACACACCAGCUCCUCGACCGCAGUCUGAGGCGGCGGGCAGGCCCCGGUGGCAAAGGAGGUGAGGGGGCAGCUGCUGACCAGGGAUGUGCUGUCUGCUCAGCAGGGAAGGGCGCACAUGGGAUGUGAUACCAAGGGAGGCUGUGUGUGUGUCAGACGGGACAGACAGGCCUGGCGCAGUGGCUCACACCUAGCACUUUGGGAGGCUCAGUUGGGAGGACAGCUUGAGCCCAGGAGUUGGAGGCCGCAGUGAGCCUGAGUGACAGGGAGAGUCCCUGUCUCAAAAAAAAAAAAAGACCAAGCAUCUUCUUGAUGGUUACCUGAUGACAAUUCCUUUCACAAGGAAUCAGUGGGGUGACUGUCAUUUGUGGGAUACAUGACUGCACGUGCGUGACUCAGUCUGUGGACUUUGUGUGUGGGCUGAGACUAGGGUGGGGAGAGGGGAACCCGCCAGGCCCCCGCCAGGUACCUGUGUGCCAGGUACAGGCGGCUGGUGCCGUGGCUUGUGUGUGGGCAGGG
rnacentral:lncRNA from 10 species